rnacentral:rRNA from 1 species
CCUACGGGUGGCUGCAGUGGGGAAUAUUGGACAAUGGGCGAAAGCCUGAUCCAGCCAUGCCGCGUGUGUGAAGAAGGCCUUCGGGUUGUAAAGCACUUUCAGUGGGGAAGAAAGCCUUGGGGCUAAUAUCCUCGAGGAAGGACAUCACCCACAGAAGAAGCACCGGCUAACUCCGUGCCAGCAGCCGCGGUAAUACGGAGGGUGCGAGCGUUAAUCGGAAUUACUGGGCGUAAAGCGCGCGUAGGCGGUCUGAUAAGCCGGUUGUGAAAGCCCCGGGCUCAACCUGGGAACGGCAUCCGGAACUGUCAGGCUAGAGUGCAGGAGAGGAAGGUAGAAUUCCCGGUGUAGCGGUGAAAUGCGUAGAGAUCGGGAGGAAUACCAGUGGCGAAGGCGGCCUUCUGGACUGACACUGACGCUGAGGUGCGAAAGCGUGGGUAGCAAACAGGAUUAGAUACCCCUGUAGUC